rnacentral:rRNA from 1 species
UUCGCAAUGCCCGAAAGGGUGACGAAGCGACGCCGCGUGCGGGAAGAAGGUCUUCGGGUUGUAAACCGCUGUCGGGAGUUAAGAAAUGUAAGGGUGUUAAUAGCAUCUUUGCUUGACUAAGGCUCCGGAGGAAGCCACGGCUAACUCUGUGCCAGCAGCCGCGGUAAUACAGAGGCGGCAAGCGUUGUUCGGAAUUAUUGGGCGUAAAGAGCACGUAGGCGGCUAUGUAAGUCGGUUGUGAAAGCCUUCCGCUCAACGGGAGAACAGCAUCCGAUACUGCAUGGCUUGAGUGCGGGAGGGGAGAGUGGAACUUCUGGUGGAGCGGUGAAAUGCGUAGAUAUCAGAAGGAACGCCGGCGGCGAAAGCGGCUCUCUGGCCCAUAACUGACGCUGAGUGUGCGAAAGCUAGGGGAGCAAACGGGAUUAGAUACCCCGGUAGUCCUAGCCGUAAACGAUGGGCACUAAGUAGAGGGGUUUU